rnacentral:misc_RNA from 1 species
UCCGAGUUAACCCCGGCAGUCUCCCGUGAGUCCCCAACUGAAUGCUGGCAACACGGGAUAAGGGUUGCGCUCGUUGCGGGACUUAACCCAACAUCUCACGACACGAGCUGACGACGGCCAUGCAGCACCUGUCUUACAGUUCCCGAAGGCACCAAUCCAUCUCUGGAAAGUUCUGUAGAUGUCAAGGCCAGGUAAGGUUCUUCGCGUUGCAUCGAAUUAAACCACAUACUCCACCGCUUGUGCGGGCCCCCGUCAACUCCUUUGAGUUUUAGCCUUGCGGCCGUACUCCCCAGGCGGAGCACUUAAUGCGUUAGCGCCGGUACGGGAGGAGUCGACACCUCCCACACCUAGUGCUCAUCGUUUACGGCGUGGACUAC